UCUAAGUAUAACCUGCCAGACAGGGAAACUGCGUACGGCUCAUUACACCAGCCUUAAUUUACUUGACCUUGACAACCUACUUGGAUACCUGUGGUAAUUCUAGAGCUAAUACAUGCACCAAAGCUCCGAUCCUCGCGGAGAGGAGCGCAUUUGUUCGCCACAAAACCAAGCCCCCAUCUGGGCGUCCAGUGCUGAACCAGAACAACUCAGCUGAUCGCACGGUCUUGUACCGGCGACGUGUCUUUCAAGUGUCUGCCUUAUCAACUUUCGAUGGUAGUGUACCUGACUACCAUGGUUGUGACGGGUAACGGAGGAUAAGGGUUCGACUCCGGAGAAGGGGCCUGAGAAAUGGCCACUACGUCUAAGGAUGGCAGCAGGCGCGCAAAUUACCCACUCUCAACGCGAGGAGGUACUGACGAGAAAUAACGAGACCGUUCUCAUACGAGGCCGGUUAUUGGAAUGGGUA
rnacentral:rRNA from 1 species